UACGUAGGGUGCGAGCGUUGUCCGGAAUUACUGGGCGUAAAGAGCUCGUAGGUGGUUUGUCGCGUUGUCCGUGAAAACUCACAACCUCAAUUGUGGGCGUGCGGGCGAUACGGGCAGACUGGAGUACUGCAGGGGAGACGUGGAAUUCCUGGUGUAGCGGUGAAAUGCGCAGAGUAUCAAGGAGGAACGACCCGGUGGCGAAGGCGGGGUCUCUGG
rnacentral:rRNA from 1 species